rnacentral:tRNA from 1 species
CGCGAACUGGGCCACCCGGGAGCCGGGUCCGGCCCCGAACCGGGCGAGGGCCGCGAUCGUGUUCGCGAAGUUGGCGU